rnacentral:rRNA from 1 species
UGGGGAAUCUUGCACAAUGGGGGCAACCCUGAUGCAGCGACGCCGCGUGAGCGAUGAAGCCCUUCGGGGCGUAAAGCUCUUUCGACCGGAACGAUAAUGACGGUACCGGGAGAAGAAGCUGCGGCUAACUACGUGCCAGCAGCCGCGGUAAUACGUAGGCAGCAAGCGUUGUUCGGAGUUACUGGGCGUAAAGAGUGCGUAGGCGGUUUUCUAAGUUCAGUGUGAAAUCUCCCGGCUUAACUGGGAGGGUGCGCCGAAGACUGGGAAGCUGGAGUGUGGGAAAGGCAGGCGGAAUUCCUGGUGUAGCGGUGAAAUGCGUAGAUAUCAGGAGGAACACCGGCGGUGUAGACGGCUUGCUAGACCAUAACUGACGCUGAGGCACGAAAGCGUGGGUAGCAAACA